rnacentral:rRNA from 1 species
UGGGGAAUAUUGCACAAUGGAGGGAACUCUGAUGCAGCAACGCCGCGUGCGGGAUGACGGCCUUCGGGUUGUAAACCGCUUUCAGCCAUGACGAAGCUUUUGUGACGGUAGUGGUAGAAGAAGCACCGGCUAACUACGUGCCAGCAGCCGCGGUGAUACGUAGGGUGCGAGCGUUGUCCGGAAUUAUUGGGCGUAAAGAGCUUGUAGGCGGUUUGUCGCGUCGAUAGUGUAAACACGCAGCUUAACUGUGUGCCUGCUGUCGAUACGGGCUGACUAGAGGAGGGUAGGGGAGAAUGGAAUUCCCGGUGGAGCGGUGGAAUGCGCAGAUAUCGGGAGGAACACCAGUGGCGAGGCGGUUCUCUGGACCUUUCCUGACGCUGAGAAGCGAAAGCGUGGGUAGCAAACAGG